rnacentral:rRNA from 1 species
AUGUUGCGGACCUUUUCUGAUUGCAUGGCACAAAAGCAUCUGAUAUCUGUGAUCACAGAUGGGGACCUUGCAAUGCAGAGAGCAAUAAGGGUGGUCUGGCCAGACUCAAACCAUAGACUAUGUAUAUGGCACAUUCAGCAGAACAUUGUACGCCAUCUGCAUGAUGACGACGUAAAGGAGGAAUUCAUAUCUUUCAUUUAUGAUACUUCUUCCAUUGAAGAGCAUGAGAUAAAAUGGAUACAAUUCUUACAACAGAAUAAACUAACUAGUGAGGAGUCUUGGCUGCAUCAGAUGUAUCAGAUGAGAAAGUUGUUGUGUGCUCCAUAUCUUGAGGGGCGUUGUUUCCUAGGAUUGAGCAGCAAUCAGAGGAGUGAGAGCUUGAACUCUGUGCUACAUACGCAUCUUGAGGGUAAGAUGUCAUUGUUUGAAAUGCUAGAGCACUAUGAGCGUUGCCUUGCGUCGCGACGGAUUAACGAAGCUCUCCAUGAUGUCGAAGCCUUGCAGUCCGUUCCAUUUACAGAGGAAAAUGCUUCGCCGCUUGAGAAACACGCCGCAACAGUUUUCACACCUAGUGUCUUUAAGAUGGUCUUAUGGAACAUAGAUGUUGUUAGCAAAUGUCAGAUCAGAGAGAUACUAGAUGGAUCAGAAGAUUCCACUUAUGUUGUGUCCAAGCAGGAAAGAAUGGAUAAAAAGUUUGGAGUGCGCAUUGAAGAGCAAGGAGGUCUUUUGCACAGGGUGAGUUGUUCUUGCCAUAAGCUAGAAUGCGCAGGCACACCAUGUUCCCACAUUUUUUACAUAUUGGGGAUUUUAAAACAAACAAUUCUGCCCGGUUGUUGCGUUCCCACUAGGUGGACUAUGAAUGCAAAAUGUGCAUACGCACCUACCAGAAAAAACCAGACGUAUGACUUUUCGGUAAGCCUGCAGAGGUACCGCGAGUUGCGGAAUUGUAGUCACGCCACAAGUUUCAAGGCAUGCCACUCUAAUGAGGACUAUCACCGUCUAAAGAUGCUUUUGCAAGCACAACAUCAUGGCAAGCAAUCAAGUUUUGAACAAGCUGAUAGCAAGGAGUCAACUAAUCCUCAGCAUAACAGCAUUAGGUUUGUCCCGUUGAUGCCGCACUCGGAGAAAGUUGAUAAGGUUCUGGAUCCCGUGCAUGUGCCAGGACGAGGUGCACCGAAGAAAAGGCUGUAG